CAGCAGCCGCGGUAAUACGAAGGGGGCUAGCGUUGUUCGGAUUAACUGGGCGUAAAGGGCGCGUAGGCGGGUCUUUAAGUCAGGGGUGAAAUCCCAAGGCUCAACCUUGGAACUGCCUUUGAUACUGGAGAUCUUGAGUCCGGGAGAGGUGAGUGGAACUGCGAGUGUAGAGGUGAAAUUCGUAGAUAUCCGCAAGAACACCAGUGGCGAAGGCGGCUCACUGGCCCGGUACUGACGCUGAGGCGCGAAAGCGUGGGGAGCAAACAGGAUUAGAUACCCCGGUAGUCCCUGUCUCUUAUAC
rnacentral:rRNA from 1 species